rnacentral:tRNA from 1 species
GUCAAGUUGGCAGAUUCAAUGUAAUCGAGUUAGGUUCGGUGUAGAUAGGUGAUAAAUCCUUUACUUGACA